UACACAUGCAAGUCGAGCGAUGAGAUCACUUCGGUGAUGGAUUAGCGGCGAACGGGUGAGGAACACGUGAAGAAUCUGCCUUCAACUCUGGGAUAACUCCGGGAAACCGGGGCUAAUACCGGAUAUGAGCCUUGAUCGCAUGAUCGAGGCUGGAAAGUUUUUCGGUUGAAGAUGACUUCGCGGCCUAUCAGCUUGUUGGUGAGGUAAUGGCUCACCAAGGCGACGACGGGUAGCCGGCCUGAGAGGGCGACCGGCCACACUGGGACUGAGACACGGCCCAGACUCCUACGGGAGGCAGCAGUGGGGAAUAUUGGGCAAUGGAGGAAACUCUGACCCAGCGACGCCGCGUGCGGGAUGAAGGCCUUCGGGUUGUAAACCGCUUUCAGCAGGGAAUAAGCGCAAGUGAAGGUACCUGCAGAAGAAGCACCGGCUAACUAUGUGCCAGCAGCCGCGGUAAUACAUAGGGUGCAAGCGUUGUCCGGAAUUAUUGGGCGUAAAGAGCUCGUAGGUGGUUUGUUACGUCGGUUGUGAAAUUCAGGGGCUCAACCCCUGACUUGCAGCCGAUACGGGCAAGCUAGAGUUUGGUAGGGGAGACUGGAAUUCCUGGUGUAGCGGUGGAAUGCGCAGAUAUCAGGAGGAACACCGAUGGCGAAGGCAGGUCUCUGGGCCAAUACUGACACUGAGGAGCGAAAGCGUGGGGAGCGAACAGGAUUAGAUACCCUGGUAGUCCACGCCGUAAACGGUGGGCGCUAGUUGUGCGAACCUUCCACGGUUUGUGCGACGCAGCUAACGCAUUAAGCGCCCCGCCUGGGGAGUACGAUCGCAAGAUUAAAACUCAAGGGAAUUGACGGGGCCCCGCACAAGCAGCGGAGCAUGCGGCUUAAUUCGACGCAACGCGAAGAACCCUUACCAAAGG
rnacentral:rRNA from 1 species